rnacentral:lncRNA from 1 species
GUAUCUAUACAGUCUUGCAACUAAGCCCGAGAAAUCACAUCAAAAUGAUGUUGGGCUUAUCAUCUGCACCACUUAAAAAAACACCAUAAUUUCAAAUUAAACUGUCACUUCAAUAAACUUUGUUAGAUGACAGGAAGCACAUGUUAUUUUAUCCUGAUCCACAAGUGGUAAUUGUUGCAUGAAUGGAUUAAUAGUAAAUACACAGCACUGCC